rnacentral:tRNA from 1 species
ACCUGGCUGGCUCAGUGGUGGAGCAUGUGACUCUUGAUCUUAGGUUUGUGAGUUCGAACCCCACAUUGGGUG